GCAGGCACAGUACUUCCAGCAUAGCAGCAGUAGCAGGGCCAGGAGCGGCAGGAGGAGGAGGAGCAGGGGGAUGAGCCACCAGAAGGAGCCCGGAGGGCAGUCUAGGACAGUGCUGUUGGGCCCAGGGGCGCCGUCACCUUCCAUGGUGUAGCUGUAGGUGCAGUCGUCAUCCUCGUCCCGGAAGGAGCAGCGCACCACCACCUUGCCCCUACCUCUCUUAAGCUCGUCCACCAUCUUGACCUUGAAGUUGCAUUCCUCACACGUGCGCCCCUUCUUCUCGCCGGUGCCCCACGCCUGGCACUGCACGCAGGAGCGUAGGUCCUCGCAGAAGCCUCACCGCCGAGUAGUUGAUCUCGCAGAUGGUGUCCGUGUAGAGCGACUGCUGGUGGCAGUGGCAGCGGCCACACUCACAGUGGCCACGUCCAUUACAGAUGCCCUGGGGCUACCCCAUUGCUGUCGAUGCAGGUGGCAUUGCUGAGGGGACAGUCACAGCUUGGGCCUGUCCAACCAGGCUCACACACACACUGGCCCAUGGAGCAGCGUCCUCGGUCU
rnacentral:lncRNA from 1 species